CAAAGAACUAGUUCAGCAUACAACACACUUCCUAGUCUUCACAGAGAACUGAAUUUUUCUAUAAAGACAUUGAUAUUCAGGAAACACAAGACAGUCAAAAUAUCUAGAAAACUCACAAGAUACUUUACACACAGUUGACAAAAUUAUAAAUCUUGGUAUUUUAGAUUUUUCUUUGUAGUUGCUUUUAAAAGUUCUAAUGAUUAAAAACAAAAUUUAAGAUUGGAGUCUGAAAACAGGUUCAAAGGCAUUUCCACUUUAAUGUACAUCAUAAAUCUCAUAAUCCAAGUGCCCACCUCUGUGCUCAUUUUUGGCAGCCUCAGUCAUCAG
rnacentral:lncRNA from 1 species